rnacentral:tRNA from 1 species
GGAGAUUUAGCUCAGUGGCAGAAGUGCCUGCCUGGCAAGCACGAGGUUGUGAGUUCGAUCCCCGCUACCUCCC